ACGCCAAAUUUAGAAUAAAAAUCCCUUAAUUUCCAAAAAAGUUUUUACGCUCGAUUGAGUUGUUUUUUGACUUGUGCGAAAAUGGUUAAUGCGAAUAAUGGGAGAUGGAAAUGCAUUUUGCGAAUAAAUUCCUCCAAGCGCAUCAAAAUAGUCAUGUGAGCUAUGAGACGGGAUAACUUGACUAGCAGCGGACUGAUCUCGUUCCACAGCAUCUGAAAUGUUGUUGGUCGUUCUGAAAUGCCUGAGAAAAGUCUGUCAUCAAAGUAUUUCUGUAUAAUUGUCUUACACGACUGUGUUCCCAAACAGCAGCAUUCACCUCCGAAAGCAAUGACAGCAUUUAUUGUGUUUCGUCUGCUCGCUCUGAGGCGCAAUUAAUUUUUCGUACAUGAAAAUUAUUAUAUUCAGUAGCUUGUCCUAGUUUUCUAUAGGCUAUUUAGUGCCAGUUUACCAGGAAGUAAUGAUUUUGUUCUCUUUGACUCGUUGGAUGGAAACGGUGCUCGCUCGCAAAUGUUUUAUGCGAUAUUCCAAAUUUGCGCAUAAGUUAAAUUCGCAACUUUGGAUGGAAACCCGGAGACGAGAGCAUCGAACUGACGAGAUAUGGAUGAGUCGACUCUCCUGAGGUAAAAGUAGUCACGUGACUUGUUGUUUACCAGUUGUUAAAUAUCAAGUCUUUCAACGGUUGAAACACGCGUUUUGGCGAUUACACGAGAGAUUAUAUUUCCGUAAAUUGUGCUCGAUCUUUUAAUAUACUUGCUGAUGUUCAUUUAUAAUUAUGUCAUGCUACAUUUAGGCUACUAGUAAAGAGGGAGAGAUGAUCGGUACAUAGAGCGAUCUAUCUCGCCACAUUAAAGAGCGGCAAAACGAUACUUAUUUUUGAAAUUUCGUAAUAAAAUUGACGUAGUUUGGAAGCUAAGACUUUGUUUUAACAAAUAAAUAAAUAAAUAACAUAAAACAUGUUUUGAGGAAUUAAUAGCCUAAUAGCAGCCUUUGCUGUUAGUUCUGUGCUGGUUUUGUCGAUGUAAUUUGAAAGGUCAGUGUAUUUCUGGUUGGCUCACUUUAAACUUUUAGUAAAUAUUGCAGGAGUAUGAAUUUUAUAACCCAACAAUAGCACCAUGGACAUUUUCAUUAAAGACAAAACUGAAUGAACAAGAUUUGUCAGCAAUAAGAGGAAUUAGAUGAAGUUUUCUUUUUUUACUAUGUUAAACUGUUUGGAUCAGUAACAGCGAGCUGUGAGAUUGUGGUCUCUCACAGCUGAGAUGGGCUGACGUGCCGGAUAUGUUGAUAUUCCCUGCUCCAUCGCCCCGUCCUGCAGUCGGGGCUGUUUGAGAUGGAUCUAGGCCAGUGACACGGGGCUCUUGAGAAAAAGACUCCAGUCACUGAGCUCUGGGUUAUUACAGCUGUCAGUGUGCACUUUACUACCUUCAGUUAUAGAGAAAGAUCUUGAUUCGAUUUAUAUUUAAUAUUGGGCAAAUAAGAAAAAAACUGUAUAAAUCAAUUUUUUGCAGACAUAGACCGAAGUUGGAGCAAGUUGUACUUUGGUUGGACAAGCUGUACUACCAGAAAAAAAUUUGGGCACACAAAAAAAUGUUUUUAAACUGCUUCAUUCAUAGAAGAAUGCCAUAGAAGAACCAUUUUUGGUUCCACAAAAAAAACAUCUCUUCCUUACCUUUUUAUAAUCUGAAGAACCUUCUUUCACCACAAAGAACCUUUUGUGAAACAGAAAGGUUCUACAGAUGUUAAAGGUUCUUUAUGGAACCAUUUAGACAAAAAGGUUCUUCUACGGCAUCAUGAAGCACCUUUAUUUUUAAGAGUGUUCUCUAGAUUCCAAAGUGCAGUUUUAGGGUUGUCCAAUUUUUAAACUUAAGAAAUAUUUCUGAAAAAUGUUUAAAAAUAUGUUGAAUUCAGGGAAAUUGUAAAUUUGAGAUGACUGGGGAAAAAAUUUCCCAAUUAAUCUGAAUUAAUAUAUUUAGAUGCAUCACAGCUAUACUAAAAUAUCAAGACUUGUUCCAUAAUCUGUUUGUCUAAACAAAAUUUUUUUAUUCUCGUUUGCAGUUUUUACAAGCUUGGAUUGUUCUUCAAUGGUGGUGUCCAAAACUCUGAGAAGAUUGUUUUGUGAUGUAAAACUAAGAUAUGAAAUAAGAAGUAUUUCUGUGUGUCUAAUCAAGUAAACGUGUUUCUUUGUACAGGCGGUCAGAAGUUCUUGUUCCAUUGAAGCACAAGAUACUCACUGGAUCAUCUCAAGUCAUGCUGCAGAACCAAAAUAAUAAUCAUACAGGGAUCAUUCCAGCUUAAAGUAAGUCACUUUCUGGUUUGUUUAAGAAAAGCUUUUUCAGUCUUUGUUCCAGAUAACCAGUGAUAUCCUUAAAAAUUCAUUUCACAUGUCCAUGCGUCUCUUCUGCAGCUCUACAUAAUGUAUCACAGUGAUAACAGUUAUCAGAUAUAAAGAUGUAUAUCUGAUAUCAGAUAUAGAUUUAUCAGAUAUCAAGAACACUACUGGUAUCAAUUAACAUUUAUUAUUUUUAAAUAAUACAAUAAAUAUACUACAAAGGAACAUGGGCUUUGGUAGAGAGUUACAACAAACAUCGCUCUCUCUCCAUUUCACAAUGAAGGACAGGCCUGUUUUCAUCGGAGCACUGAGCGGAUGUAUCAUACGGCUGAUAAAAAAGAAAUGUGGCUGUGGGAAGAAACAUGAAGAGAAAGCUUAACAUUUUCAUGCAUACAGAAAAGUUUUAAUGCUUCAAAAGACAUACAAGGGUGGGUGGACACAGUAAACCUGAAUUUAUUGACACAAAACCAAUAUCUCUUCUAUCUUCUCGUACACAGGUUUGACACGACCGCAAAAACAAACAAACAAACAAACAUUACAAAGACAAAAAAACAAAACAGAAUAAACUUUAUUGGCAGCAUUACUGCUGGUUUUGAAAUUUACAGAAGAAUCGGUUGAAAUUUGUUUCGUGUCAAAACCGCAUAUUCCAUGUUGAAUCCUCUUAAAAGAAACAGUUCAAGUCAUAUUUAAUCAAAAAUUAGAGCAAGAUCUUGCAGUAGCAGGUCUAGUGGUCAAAAAGCAGAACAAAAGAGUGCAGGAAAAUGUCUAGUGGCAAAAGUUGUGAUAGAUGAAUAACAAGAUGGCUCUAGUCAAUGACAACAAAUUCUGACAGGUGAAGGAAUAUACGCUAGCGAAAUUCUGUAAUGUACAACAUACUUGAAUAAUCACACAAGACACUCUGAUUCUUGGUCUUCAAGUCUCUUAAAUUAAGAGAAAUCUCUUUGGAAGGAAAGCUGAAAUCGGCAGUCAAGUUAACUAUUCAUUCCUCUAAGCGUUUUGGUUAAAAUAUUCACAGAACCCUCCGAAAAGGUCCCAAGCUAAUUCUCCAGAGCGGUUUUAAAUGCUAAAACUUUUAGUGCGUGAAAAGGCAUUUCAUUUCCAUCGCUUCUGUUAGCUAGAGUAACACUUUACAUUACACGCGAUGCCUCAAUCACAACAGCAUUAACAGUAAUUGUGCUCCGUUUAACCAUUUCAGAUCGUGUGAAUAGAACGUUGUAAUGUAAAGUGUAAGCUAAAGCCUUUGGAGGACCAUAAAUUAUCUCCAUAUAACAAUCUGGACAUGAGGAAUGAUAACAGAAGAAAAACGUGUUCUCAUCUAUAAAUGAAUAUGAUUUUACGGCAUGCAUAAAAAUACUCCCCACCUUGGGAAGCAAAGCUAGGACUUUGACAGAAGACGUGGAACCGCUUGGGCAUCACCGCAGAGCCGUUUUCAAUUACAACAAACAAGUACAGGAAAAAAAAGGUAUAUAUUUUUAGCACCACAGACAGAAGGAAAUAGCACCUAGUUUACCGAUAUUGUGUUUCCUCAGUGUGAUGGUGUGCUCUUCUGAUACAGGGAAGCACCGAUUCAUGAACGUCAGAUCAAAGUUUCCCCUCAUACACGCGGGUCGCGAUCUCACAGACCCACGGAAGCCACUUCAACAUGACAGGUAGCAAAUUAAUGCUCACAUUACGGCUGUUUCGUACUUUUAUUGUCAUUUUGUUGUUUAAAUUACAAAAAGACGUUGUUCACAUCUGGAAUAAGACAUUUUGUUGCUGUUUUGUCGUAUUUUAAUCAUUUCCUUUAUUUUCUCUUCUUCAGAUUCACUGGAAAUUUCCUCAGGUUCUUAUUUGGGGGGAUAUUUUAUUUUGGUUUUUUUUCCAAUAACCAGCAGCUCUGUCCUUAUCGCUCAAUGGGUUCACAUGCAUGUUUUGAAGCCAGAACCAAAACAAAAAAAAACA